CAGCCGUAAACUAUGCGCGUUAGGUGUGCUGGUGACCACGUGUCACCGGGGUGCCGAAGGGAAACCGUGAAACGUGCCGCCUGGGAAGUACGGUCGCAAGGCUGAAACUUAAAGGAAUUGGCGGGGGAGCACCGCAACGGGAGGAGCGUGCGGUUUAAUUGGAUUCAACACCGUAAAACUCACCAGGGAAGACUGUUACAUGAAAGCCGAGAUGAAGACUCUGCUAGAUUUUCAGAGAGGAGGUGCAUGGCGUCAGUGACU
rnacentral:rRNA from 1 species